UAUGAAUAUUGAAAACACUAGUGUGCGG
rnacentral:sRNA from 1 species